rnacentral:rRNA from 1 species
GGCGUAGGGCGCGAGCGUUGUCCGGAUUUAUUGGGCGUAAAGAGCUCGUAGGCGGCUUGUCGCGUCGUCCGUGAAAACCCACAGCUCAACUGUGGGCUUGCGGUCGAUACGGGCAGGCUAGAGUUCGGUAGGGGAGACUGGAAUUCCUGGUGUGAGCGGUGAAAUGCGCAGAUAUCAGGAGGAACACCGGUGGCGAAGGCGGGUCUCUGGGCAGAUGACUGACGCUGAGACGCGAAAGCAUGGGGAGCAAACAGG